rnacentral:rRNA from 1 species
UACGAAGGGGCUAGCGUUGCUCGGAAUUACUGGGCGUAAAGGGCGCGUAGGCGGCACUGUUAGUCAGGCGUGAAAGUCCUGGGCUCAACCUGGGAACUGCGCUUGAUACGGCAGAGCUAGAGGAUGGAAGAGGGUCGCGGAAUUCCCAAGUGUAGAGGUGAAAUUCGUAGAUAUUGGGAAGAACACCCGUGGCGAAGGCGGUUCUCUGGGACGGUACUGACGCUGAGACGCGAAAGCGUGGGGGAGCGAAACAGG